UCCUACCCCUAUGAGUAGCAGUAUAUCAUUGAUAGCUCCAGCAUUAGAGGUAGUGGUGUUCUUCAUAAGAAAGAGAGUUCUUAUGAUGCCAUCAAUAGCCUGAGCAUUGCUCUUUGUAACAUUAAGCAGCUCCUGAAGGAGUGUAUCAUUGUGAGCAUCAUUGGAACAUGAAGCAGAGCAAGUAGCAUAAUUAUGACAUUGGAUGAGUUGAGGGAGACAAACAAUCACCACAAGAAGAGACAACAUUCCUUCUCAGUUACUGAGCAUGACCAGUGACGUUGAAAAUAAGCACAAGAAUUCAAGGCGUACACUAGACAUUAGUCAUAUCAGACACCUGUGAGGUUAUUGUAGUUGUGUACAAAUAUGCAAAGAACGUACUCGAGUACAAGCCACUCCUUGAUUAUCAAAACAUACACUACUCAUGCACAAAUUAACUACAUUACAGCAACACUUGUCCAAAAUGACCACAAGAAGAGACAAUAUUCCUUCUCAGUUCACUGAUUUGUUGAUCACUUGCAUAACAGAUCUUUCAUAAACUUUAGAAAGGCAUAACCAAUGACGUUAAGAGUAAUUCAACAAGAAUUUAAGGAGAGGACACUAUUAUCAGAUUCAAACCAUUACCACAUGUACUAAUGAUAAUGAUAAUUAGUUUCUUAUAAUACUAUUAACAUAUAGAGCAUAAGGCUCAAUUGUAUCAAACAAUAAACAAAAAUAAGGCUUGCUCUAGAUCAGCUGCAUAGCCAUAUGGUAACUGUGAGGCUAACUUUAAGAGCAAGUUACAAAGAUUAACAAAGAUACGGCCUAGAUCUAAUUAAUAGCACAACUUCAUUCACAAAUACACUAACUAACAUGCCUCUACUAAUGAACAUACAAGUACAAACUAAUAAGUAAUUACUGUAAUACAUCUGUAGUGAGCUGACUCAUCAUGACAUCACAUCAGAACUCAUAAAUAGUCAUAAACUAUCUUUGUAUAUAUGUUCCAUGCUGUGUUAUUAAUAAUCAGUGUUUGGGUGUCAACACGAGGCAUCGUUAGCUCUCUCUCUCUAGCGCAGCAAUCCUGCCUGCCUUCAUGCUAGCCAUUAACCAGCACUCAUCCAUAACACUCAUUUUUGAAUUUGCUAUACAUCCAAGUACCUUUCUUCUUCAAAAUAAUAAUUUCAAAUUUGCAGUGCAUAAUGACAUCCAAACAAUGCAGUAGUAGAUCUAGAGACGUUUAGCUUUGUUCAUGUUGUUAGGGGGAGUGCACUGAUUUAAGUUCAUUGGUAUGCCCAUAAUUGACCAGGAUGCACCCACUCUGAAUAAUUAUUUGUCAAUAAAAUGGUAACAAGUGCACCCUUAUGCUUGAGUAGCCUGCAUUUAUAUGCACCCACAACUUUCAGAUAUGCUGGAGAUGCUUUUGGCUUUGUUUAAAAUAUUUUCUUAAAAUUAUUGAAAGAGUAAUAUCUACAUAUUAACCACGACUACAAAGCAAAAUAACAAAUCAAGGAAAGGAUAAAAUCUACAUAAGCUAAUAAGUGAUUUAAACAGCAUAAUAAAAUAAGUAUCAUCAAGAAUGAAAAGCGAAGUUAUUUAUUUGAGCGAUCCUUCCACUUGUAGAGAUCAAUAGUGAGUGCCUGGGGUAUUCCCAUCAUCGAGGAAUUAGAGAAGACAUCAACAAACACUUUAACAGAAUAUGGUAUAUUAAAUGUUUUGAUCACUUGAAAUAAGUUAUAGGUGGAUCCACUGAAUUUAUAAACA